AGUGAACGCUGGCGGUAGGCCUAACACAUGCAAGUCGAACGGCAGCACAGUAAGAGCUUGCUCCUACGGGUGGCGAGUGGCGGACGGGUGAGGAAUACAUCGGAAUCUACUUUUUCGUGGGGGAUAACGUAGGGAAACUUACGCUAAUACCGCAUACGACCUACGGGUUAAAGCAGGGGAUCUUCGGACCUUUCGCGAUUCAAUUAGCCGAUGUCGGAUUAGCUAGUUGGCGGGGUAAAGGCCCACCAAGGCAACGAUACGUAGCUGGUCUGAGAGGAUGAUCAGCCACACUGGAACUGAGACACGGUCCAGACUCCUACGGGAGGCAGCAGUGGGGAAUAUUGGACAAUGGGCGCAAGCCUGAUCCAGCCAUACCGCGUGGGUGAAGAAGGUCUUCGGGUUGUAAAGCCCUUUUGUUGGGAAAGAAAAGCAGCAGGUGAAUACCCCGCUGUUCUGACGGUACCCAAAGAAUAAGCACCGGCUAACUUCGUG
rnacentral:rRNA from 1 species